GACGAACGCUGGCGGCGUGCUUAACACAUGCAAGUCGAACGGAAAGGCCCUGCUUUUGUGGGGUGCUCGAGUGGCGAACGGGUGAGUAACACGUGAGUAACCUGCCCUUGACUUUGGGAUAACUUCAGGAAACUGGGGCUAAUACCGGAUAGGAGCUCCUGCUGCAUGGUGGGGGUGGGAAAGUUUCGGCGGUUGGGGAUGGACUCGCGGCUUAUCAGCUUGUUGGUGGGGUAGUGGCUUACCAAGGCUUUGACGGGUAGCCGGCCUGAGAGGGUGAACGGCGACAUUGGGACUGAGAUGCGGCCCAGACUCCUACGGGAGGCAGCAGUGGGGAAUCUUGCACAAUGGGCGGACGCCUGAUGCAGCAACGCCGCGUGCGGGAUGACGGCCUUCGGGUUGUAAACCGCUUUAGCCUGUGACGAAGCGUGAGUGACGGUAAUGGGUAAAGAAGCACCGGCUAACUACGUG
rnacentral:rRNA from 1 species